rnacentral:rRNA from 1 species
UACGUAGGGUGCAAGCGUUGUCCGGAAUUAUUGGGCGUAAAGAGCUCGUAGGCGGUCUGUCGCGUCUGCUGUGAAAACCUAGGGCUUAACUCUGGGCGUGCAUUCGAUACGGGCAGGCUAGAGUUCGGUAGGGGAGACUGGAAUUCCUGGUGUAGCGGUGAAAUGCGCAGAUAUCAGGAGGAACACCGGUGGCGAAGGCGGGUCUCUGGGCCGAUACUGACGCUGAGGAGCGAAAGCGUGGGGAGCGAACAGG